AGUGCAGUUAAAGAGGCAGAGUUGUAUAUAAGACAGGGUAUUGACAAGGAUGGUUUUAUUGUCAAAGAUAUUAACCCUGAAAUAGGAAAAGGGGUCUUUACAACAAGAGCUUUUAUGAAGGGAGAAUUUCUACUUGAGUAUGAAGGCAAGUUGAUGUCCAGUGAAAAAGGAGACAGGAGACUUGACAGCCAUGUCAGAAAAGGCCAUGGAUGUUAUGUUUUCUUUUUUAGAGAUAAUGAGGAUCAGAAGCUGAGCAUUGAUGCUACAAAUUCAAAAUUAAUGGGCAGGUAUGUCAAUGAUGGCGUUGGCAGAGAAAAAAAUUCUAUUAUGAGGCGUAUUCAUGUGGAUGGUAAUCCCCAUUUGGCAUUAUUUGCCCUCAAAGAAAUAGUCAGGGGAGAGGAGUUACGCUACGAUUAUGGGGAUCAAUCCAAAAACCUGCCAUGGAGAAAAAAGUC